rnacentral:rRNA from 1 species
GACGUACGCUGGCGGCGUGCUUAACACAUGCAAGUCGAACGGAAAGGCCCUGCUUUUGUGGGGUGCUCGAGUGGCGAACGGGUGAGUAACACGUGAGUAACCUGCCCUUGACUUUGGGAUAACUUCAGGAAACUGGGGCUAAUACCGGAUAGGAGCUCCUGCUGCAUGGUGGGGGUUGGAAAGUUUCGGCGGUUGGGGAUGGACUCGCGGCUUAUCAGCUUGUUGGUGGGGUAGUGGCUUACCAAGGCUUUGACGGGUAGCCGGCCUGAGAGGGUGACCGGCCACAUUGGGACUGAGAUACGGCCCAGACUCCUACGGGAGGCAGCAGUGGGGAAUAUUGCACAAUGGGCGGAAGCCUGAUGCAGCAACGCCGCGUGCGGGAUGACGGCCUUCGGGUUGUAAACCGCUUUCGCCUGUGACGAAGCGUGAGUGGCGGUAAUGGGUAAAGAAGCACCGGCUAACUACGUG